AGCAAGGAUUCUGUUUGCCUUCAGAACAAGAUGUAGAAGUCAGCUUCUCCUACACCAUGCCUGCCUGGACACUACUGCGCUCCUGCCUUAACAAUGGACUGAACCUCUGAACCUCCUGUGUCAAGAUAACCAACCAGGAGGGACUGCCACUCUACAGAAAGCCACUCAAGCUAACAAAUGAAGAAGCAAAAAGCGAAGCCACCAUUUUGAGACUCUCACUGGGCUAAAGGAUCUGAGUAGCAGUAAUUAAGGGUUGCUAACCAUUAAGUAAAAGUCGAUGGAAGAUACUAGAAUGGGUUGAUUGGCAUAAACCUCCCAAGGGACAGUGUUAGCACCAAUAAAAGAAUUCACGAGUUACCCAGGAUGGAAGGACAGCUUGACAACUAAGGAAUCCUGGGAAGCAAGAAUCCAAAUUUGAAGAAGUAGAAGCUUUUUGCUGAACAAUCAAGUCCAUUUCUUUACCUACCAAAGACGAUGGGAGGUCCAAGCAAUGGCUGAGGGGUUAAGAACAUUCGCUGCACAUUGUGAAGACCAGUUUGGACAUGGUACCUAUGUCAACAGCAGGGUGUGAGCCCACACAUGUCUUUAUUCUCAACACUGAGAACUGAGAGGAGAGAGGAUCUGUGGGGCUUCCUGGUGGUCAGCCUAGACAAACUCUCUCUCUCUCUCUCUCUCUCUCUCUCUCUCUCUCUCUCUCACACACACACACACACACACACACACACACACACACACACACACACACACAAAGCUCUUGCCUCAAAGAACAAGACUCAGAGGGAAAAAGAAGCACCCAGUCCCCGGCUCCCCCACCCCCACCCCGCUCUCUGCAGGUGCACAAGCUGCUCAUUCCCGCACAUUUAUGCACAUAUGCCACAGACAGCCAUGCCCGGCUCACACAUGUAUACACACACACAGGAGAGGGGAGCCAGGUGUAGUGGUGCAUAAGCUCCGUUCUCAGGAGGCUGAGGCAGAAGUUUCGGGAGUUUCAGGCCAGCCUCGGCUCUAUAGUGAGUUCUAGGCAGCAGCAUCUACGUGAGAGCUUGCCUCUAAUAACUCAGAACAACAACAGCAAGAAGAAUGGCAGAAACUGCUCCUUCAAAGGAGAAACAGAACAUAUUAGCUACUUAUAUGGCAUGGCUCUGCCUGCACUUGGCUUUGAGCCAUUGCAAAAACACAUUUGAGAAAUCAGAUAAAAAUGAAGACACCCCAAGUGUUAGAUACUAUUAAGAAGAAUUUUUGUUGUUGUUGAGCAUGAUGGUUUGGGGGUUAUACUAUUCCAUUACUGUGUUUAGUUGUGCAUUGGAUUCUCUGAAUGUAAAAUUGCACAAUAACUGGAAUUUGCUUUAAAAGACCUACCAAAAAAUAUAAGGGAACAAUAACUGAGAAAAUGUUGGAGGGUGGGGUUUUAAGGCUGGGGGACACUUGGGACAGUAAAGUGCUUUCUUGUAAGCAUGAAUACCAGAGUUCCAUCCCUAGAGCUCACACGAAUAGGGUAUCAUAGUGUGCUUGUACUCCAACACUGGGGAGGCAGAGACAGGUCCCUGGGGUGCAUUGGUCAGUCAGACUACCUCCUGGGAGAAUGCCAAGCCAGUGAGAGACCCUGCCUGAAAAAUAAAAAAGGUGGCUGGCUCCUGAAGUUGUCCUCUGGCCUACACACACACACACACACACACACACACACACACACACACACAUAUACACACACAGAAAUAUGCACCUGAGCAUACACACACAGCUACAUGCAUACUGAGCCACACCCACAUAACCAGAAACACAAAUAUGGGCACAUACACAGGUACAUACACACAUGGACAUGCACACACAGCCAUAUGUACACCCACACAGCCAUAAACAUACAUAUUGGCAUACACACAUGAUACAAGCACACAUGGGCAUACACAUGCACACAUACAUACAUAACACGCACGCACACACACACACACACACACACACACACACGGGUUGCACACAUACAUACACACACAUACACAUGCACAUCCGUGGGGUGUACACCCGUGUGCACACACACGCUGGAGCUUGUGGAAGCUGUUAUGGCCUCUGGUGGUUUUACAGCCAGGCAGCUUUCCACCCGUCUGGGAGAGAGGCUUUACUUUGGUUGCUUUCUGUUGCCAGUUGAGCACAGUCCAGUUUAAUAACAAGUUGGUCAUGGAGGAUGUAAGUCCAAAUAUCUGAUUGAAUUCAGCAGACAUAAAAUUAUACACACUAGGAAAUGAACCCAGGGCUUUAUGAACGCUAAGUGAGAGUUGUCCUGCUGCGCUCCAUCCCAGCCUCUUACUACUUCUUAUUUUGAGAUAGGGUCCCACUGAGUUGCCUAAGCAGCCUUGAAUUUACUCUGUAACUCAGUCAGGCCUUGAGCUUGUGAUCCUAUCUCUCUGCCUCUCAUGUGGCUGGAAUCUCAAGCCUCUACCACCAGGCCUGGGUAGGCAAGCAUAUUUUAAUGAAUAGAAUCGGAACAAACAUAUCAUAGAGAAGAGCAAAAGAAUUUUUCAAAUCACAUAAUUUUUGUUGACUGGAAUGAAUGUGAGAUGCUACUCUGUCAUCCCACAACCACAGGGCAGGCAAGUCCCAUAUUAAAUGUCUGUGCACGGCCUCAACCACAACCAUUCCUAUCAAUAUUUAAGAUUUCCAGUGUGGCAGAUAAGCUUCUUCUUACCAGUCAUCUGAUUCAGUUAGAGCAGUGACUGCUGGCAGUAGAGCCAGUGCACUGGACAGCCCUGCUUCCAGACUCUCUUAGGCAGAGACCAGCCUCACAGAGAUGUGUCAGGGGGGAGGGUGAAAGAGACUUCUGAGUCCUUACAUAACAUUCGGAAUAUUCAGUUUUAACAUCUCACCAACCCAAAAUAACACUUUCUACUUCAAAAUUCAUCUUCGGUUUUUGAUUGAUGAUCUCUAGUUCCAAGUGUAGUCUAUAAAUUGCAUCUAAAUUAUUUAUAUAUUUUGAUGAAGGAAACAUAUUUUAAAGCCAUAGAUUUCUUGUGCAUACAUUACCUUUUCCUUAUAUAUUGGGAUAGGGUCUCACUAUAUAGCUCUAGAUGGCCUGGAAUUGCUAUGUAGACAUGCUGGUUUUGAACUCACAGAUCUCUGCCUUUCUCUAGCUCCUGAGUACUGAGAUUAAAGGCAUGUGUCACCGUG